rnacentral:rRNA from 1 species
AGAGUUUGAUCCUGGCUCAGCCUGAACGCUGGCGGCGUGGCUAAGACAUGCAAGUCGUACGGUGUAGCAAUACACAGUGGCGAACGGGUGAGUAAUGUAUCGCUAAUGUACCCCGGACUCUGGGAUAGCUGCCUGAAAGGGCAGGUAAUACCAGAUGACAUAGCCUUUCCGCAUGGUAAGGUUCUCAAAGGUCCGCCGGUCUGGGAGCAGGCGAUAUCGUAUCAGCUAGUUGGUGAGGUAACGGCUCACCAAGGCGACGACGCGUAGCCGGACUGAGAGGUUGGCCGGCCACAUUGGGACUGAGACACUGCCCAGACUCCUACGGGGGGCUGCAGUAACGAAUCUUCCGCAAUGCACGAAAGUGUGACGGAGCGACGCCGCGUGUAGGACGAAGCCCUUCGGGGUGUAAA